rnacentral:rRNA from 1 species
CCGGUAAACGGCGGCCGUAACUAUAACGGUCCUAAGGUAGCGAAAUUCCUUGUCGGGUAAGUUCCGACCUGCACGAAUGGCGUAAUGAUGGCCAGGCUGUCUCCACCCGAGACUCAGUGAAAUUGAACUCGCUGUGAAGAUGCAGUGUACCCGCGGCAAGACGGAAAGACCCCGUGAACCUUUACUAUAGCUUGACACUGAACAUUGAGCCUUGAUGUGUAGGAUAGGUGGGAGGCUUUGAAGUGUGGACGCCAGUCUGCAUGGAGCCGACCUUGAAAUACCACCCUUUAAUGUUUGAUGUUCUAACGUUGACCCGUAAUCCGGGUUGCGGACAGUGUCUGGUGGGUAGUUUGACUGGGGCGGUCUCCUCCUAAAGAGUAACGGAGGAGCACGAAGGUUGGCUAAUCCUGGUCGGACAUCAGGAGGUUAGUGCAAUGGCAUAAGCCAGCUUGACUGCGAGCGUGACGGCGCGAGCAGGUGCGAAAGCAGGUCAUAGUGAUCCGGUGGUUCUGAAUGGAAGGGCCAUCGCUCAACGGAUAAAAGGUACUCCGGGGAUAACAGGCUGAUACCGCCCAAGAGUUCAUAUCGACGGCGGUGUUUGGCACCUCGAUGUCGGCUCAUCACAUCCUGGGGCUGAAGUAGGUCCCAAGGGUAUGGCUGUUCGCCAUUUAAAGUGGUACGCGAGCUGGGUUUAGAACGUCGUGAGACAGUUCGGUCCCUAUCUGCCGUGGGCGCUGGAGAACUGAGGGGGGCUGCUCCUAGUACGAGAGGACCGGAGUGGACGCAUCACUGGUGUUCGGGUUGUCAUGCCAAUGGCACUGCCCGGUAGCUAAAUGCGG